rnacentral:lncRNA from 1 species
GUCAAGUGACAUACAGACACAAGAAAUAUUCAGUUAUGAGGAUUGAAGAAAUUAAUGAUCAUUCAGUCAUUGAGGAUUUGAGAAGAGGCAUCAAUGCUCCAGUAGAGGUGUUAUUGAAGUUGUGGCUGUCAAUAGUCCUUUUAUUGAUGCUAAGUACAUGGUAAGGAAAUAAUGCUAUAUGAUUUGCAUAUUUUUUGCUAUGAGAACUUCUGCAACUGAAACUCAAAGUUUAGGUGUUGAACUCAUAGUUUUGCAGUAGUUAGUUUUGUACUACUUUGUAUCAAAAUUGCAUCAUACCAUGUUGCACUGUAUUUCGAGCAUAGAAAAAUUACUUAACACCUAAUUUUGCACAAUUGGGUUCCUACUUUUUUCUGUUAUUAGGUGCAAUGAAAAAAAUCAUCCAGUGGGAUGUUCUACUGCAUCAGAAUUUGACAAAUUUAAUUCUGCCAUUAUAUUCUUCCCUUCACUGCUCAAGUUAACACCCCUCCUCCCAUUUAUUGGCCCAUAUGUUCAAUUAUGAAUCCACUCAUGGCCCCUUUAAAGGAUCCAUUAAGAUCGUGGAUGAUUCAGUAUUGGAGAUUAAUACGAAAAGAUCACAACCACGGGCGAAAGGUAAAUAUGCCAGGGUUAGCUAAUUGUUUGCCAUAUUAGUGUGGUUGAUAUAUAUGUCGCGGUUUCUAAAUAUGCAUGACAUGUUGUGCUGAAUAAGGACAUGUGAAGCAAUGAAGUCACCAAGGUAACAUUAUUAGUUAAUAAUUGAUUUAUAGUUUAGAGCCCCAUGUUUUUCGCACAUUCAUACGGACAUAUAAUAGCUUAUAAGCGCACGCUUGUUGUACAUCUCGAGUACUGCUUGUUCCUUCUCUUAUUUUGAUUCUUAUGUUCACAUGUUGAUUUUUUGUCAUAGAGGGAAAGGAGAAGUCUGAAUGCGCCAACAAGUAGCGACCAAUGAGCUGUCGUCUAUGGAUUGGCUAAGGGAGGAGUUGUCUUGUGCUGCAAGGGCAUCUUGCAGAUCGAUUUCCUUGGUUUGAUGUGUCUCAGAUUCUAAUUAGUAUUUAAUUUCCUUAGUUUUAAC